rnacentral:rRNA from 1 species
UACGGAGGAUCCAAGCGUUAUCCGGAAUCAUUGGGUUUAAAGGGUCCGUAGGCGGUUUAGUAAGUCAGUGGUGAAAGCCCAUCGCUCAACGGUGGAACGGCCAUUGAUACUGCUGAACUUGAAUUAUUAGGAAGUAACUAGAAUAUGUAGUGUAGCGGUGAAAUGCUUAGAGAUUACAUGGAAUACCAAUUGCGAAGGCAGGUUACUACUAAUGGAUUGACGCUGAUGGACGAAAGCGUGGGUAGCGAACAGG